UACGUAGGUGGCAAGCGUUGUCCGGAUUUAUUGGGCGUAAAGCGCGCGCAGGCGGUGAGGUAAGUCCGUCGUGAAAUCUCCCGGCUCAACUGGGGGGGUGCGGGGGAGACUGCCUGACUGGAGGCACUCAGAGGCCGGUGGAAUUCCCGGUGGAGUGGUGAAAUGCGUAGAGAUCGGGAGGAACACCAGUGGCGAAGGCGGCCGGCUGGGGGUGACCUGACGCUGAGGCGCGAAAGCGUGGGGAGCGAACAGG
rnacentral:rRNA from 1 species